CUUGCCCCUAAGAGGCAUUGCAGGUGUGGCUGCUAUGUCAUAUGUGUGUGCGUCAGUAGGUAGCGAAGAGGAGAAAGGGUAUGGUCUACUUUCAGUGUUCUGAUCUAUGAUCAUUUCAAUGAUUAGUAACCUAGCAUC